UCAGAAGAUUUUUGUAUUUGAACUCUGCUGUUGUUCAAGACACUCCUGAUUUGCUUCAUGACACAACCAUUUAAGUUAUCCUUUUUACUUAAAAGUUUUUGCACUCAGGAAGGUGUCUCACCAAAGUUAAGUUGUUAAAGAUUGUUGAGAUAUGUUGAGAAGGUAUAUAAAUUGCCAGACAGAAUUAAAAUUGUGUCCAGAUAAGUAGAGGAGCAGCUGGAGGGAACAACACAUUGCUUGGGGAACCCAAACCUGCCUUGUACAGGGAUCCAGAUUGGGACCGUAUCUUUUGCGGACAUUCUUCACAGGAAUAAGUAUGAUAUUGUUCUUAUGGGAAAAAAUUCUGUAUAACCUAAACUGCAUCAGCUAGCUUGCUAAUGCUUUGUUAACACCUUCUGUUUGUUCAAUAUCUCGCAUUAACAUUUGGUAUUGCAAAACAAUUAUAUUUAUGUCUUCA